AAACAGGUGGUAGUAGUUUUCAGUGAAUGAGGGUUUUCUUUUUGUUUGUUGGAAUUAAUAAAAAAGAUUAAAUUGUGGUGCCAAAUAGGGGAGGAGGAGCUGAGAUCGGCUCCUGCUUGCUUUUGUAUCGGGUAGGUUUUCAUACCAGGAGGGCUCUUCCCGUUACAUGCUCCCAAAGGCACUGAAGGAAAACAGAGCCACGCACAAGUCUACCCAACUUAUAUGACAAUGCCCAAAUAGACCAUUUCCCUCCAGGCAUGGUGUAUGAAGGAGGGCUGCCUUCAAGAAGGUCUAUGUCAGAGCUGCAACCAAGAGAAGAAAUGGUUUGCUUUGGCUCACAAAGUCUCCUGGGCCCAAGGAAAUGCCCAAGGGAUCCAGAUCCAUCAGUGUUAUGCCUGAUCUCUAUUGCCACGGGACGAUCAGGAGCAAAGGUACCAUCUUGCAAAGAAUGCAACACAGCAAAAAGAUUGUGUUCCUGUUGCCAAAAGAAGACAGCAUAUAUUCCUCCACUCUUCUACUCCUAACACCCAGCGCAAUGAUAUCAGCAGAGAACUCCAGCUGUCACUGCUAAAAUAGGUAAAAGAUCCCAUGGGGUUCUAAAAAUAUCAAAAUGAAACUAAUCUCUCCCCCCCCCCCCCAGCCCCUUUUAAACCAAAAACUGCAAAACAAAGAUACACACUGCCGCUCACAGUUGAGGCUAUUCCCAUCUGAACCGGAUUCCCCAUCUGGCACACAAUUUGACAGGCAGAGAACGUCGCUGUUCCUGAAAAACCAACUCCCAUCACUUUGUUUUUGAAUUUUUAGCUGCCUAUGGAGACUAUUUUGUAAAUACCAUCAGCCCUUAGUAUUUGCCAGUUUUUAGUUCUAGGGCCCGACCUCUCUUUCUCUCUCUCUCUCCCCCCCCCAUAGAUACCCCAUAAAUACCAAAAUCUCUGGAUGCUCAAAUCUAAUGAUAUACAAUGGUGUGGUAGAAGAAAUAUAUACUUCAUAUAAAAUGGCCAAAUCAAGGUUUACCUUUUGAAUAUUGUCAACCCAAUGGGUGGCUGAUUCUCUAAAUGCAGGGCCCAUGGAUAUGGAAAGACAACUUCAUGGUGUUGAGAAAACACUGCAGGAUGUUUAACAGGCUCAAAGGAUGAAGGUGCAACCUCAUUGUCAUGCACCAUUCCUUGUUGUGCUUCCAAAGCUGCUCUAAUAACUAUAAAUUGUGUGUAUCUGUUGCAGUCUUAUCUAUGCUGCUUUGAAUCCCAUUCUUGGGAGAAAAGUAAAUAAAUAAAUAAUGACCAAUUAGCAUCAA
rnacentral:lncRNA from 11 species